GGCACAGAGACUGGCUGCCUCUCCGGGGGCGUCGCGGGAGGGUGCGGUCCGCGCUGGGCGAGGCUUCCUGCGGGCACCGGCGUGCUCGGCCUCCGCUCCUGGGCGCUGCAGUUCUCCCUCUCCUUGCCAGCCCAGAGAUAAAUAGACGGCCAGAAAGAAAAGAAAAAGAGAAAACAUCUCUAGAGGUUUCUGAUAGCUAAUCAACACCUCAGCAUUACAAUUCUGUUUUCCAUAAACUUCUGUGCAGAAAUCUGGGGAAUCCAAAAGAACUGGGGAGUGCUGAUCUCCCUGGAGUCUGAAGCCUGGAGAAACCAUCCGGAAGGCUGAAGCUAUUCAUCUCGAAGGAGCAGAUGUUGUCCCUCCCCAAGGAGUUAUUACGGGUUGGAAGAAAUGAGAAAAUGAAUAUAAACAAGUCAUUUUGUGAAUGUUAUCAAAUAUGAUCAGCACCAACCAAACAGAGCUCUAAAUGAGAAAAAGCAAAUGGACUCAAUGUGGUUGAAAUGUGGAGGGGAUUUUGAGAGAUGAAGCUUGAAAUACAGUUGACCCUGGAACAAGAAUUUUUGUUAAUCCUGUGAGGAUGGCUUCAGGAUAAAGAAUUUUGGAGGCCAAGAACUUCAAAGGGAGAAAACCUUAAAAAAAAAUUGCAAGAUCCUAAGGAAAACAGAGAAGAGAGAUGACCAGAGAGGGAAAGAGAAGAGCUGCCUGUUUCUGAACUCAAAGAAUUGUUGAAGGACAACUGAAAUUUAGUUGUGAUUUUGAUUAAUAAUGUAUUUUUUAA